CCUACGGGCUGCACCAGUGGGGAAUAUUGCACAAUGGGCGCAAGCCUGAUGCAGCCAUGCCGCGUGUAUGAAGAAGGCCUUCGGGUUGUAAAGUACUUUCAGCGGGGAGGAAGGUGUUGAGGUUAAUAACCUCAGCAAAUGACGUUACCCGCAGAAGAAGCACCGGCUAACUCCGUGCCAGCAGCCGCGGUAAUACGGAGGGUGCAAGCGUUAAUCGGAAUUACUGGGCGUAAAGCGCACGCAGGCGGUCUGUCAAGUCGGAUGUGAAAUCCCCGGGCUCAACCUGGGAACUGCAUUCGAAACUGGCAGGCUAGAGUCUUGUAGAGGGGGGUAGAAUUCCAGGUGUAGCGGUGAAAUGCGUAGAGAUCUGGAGGAAUACCGGUGGCGAAGGCGGCCCCCUGGACAAAGACUGACGCUCAGGUGCGAAAGCGUGGGGGGCAAACAGGAUUAGAUACCCCAGUAGUC
rnacentral:rRNA from 1 species